rnacentral:rRNA from 1 species
UUAAAUUGAAGAGUUUGAUCAUGGCUCAGAUUGAACGCUGGCGGCAGGCCUAACACAUGCAAGUCGAACGGUAACAGGAAGCAGCUUGCUGCUUUGCUGACGAGUGGCGGACGGGUGAGUAAUGUCUGGGAAACUGCCUGAUGGAGGGGGGUA